rnacentral:misc_RNA from 1 species
UGCGGCUGGAUCACCUCCUUUCUAAGGAAGAUGUUGAGUAUCAUUGAAUUUAUUGAGUGAUCU